AGCACACCUGCACUCAUACGCUCCCAUCUCUUCUCACUCUCUACACACCGGUCACCGGAGUAAACACCGGCCAAUUUUCCGGCCGGUUACCAGUAAAUUACAACCAUCUAACAUCUUACCUCCUCCUCCCUCUCUCACAACCAUACACCCCAGCCCCCAUUCGCUCUAAAACAAACCGGCCACCACCAACCGGUGGUGGCAUACGGCGACGAGGCGGAAAGAAAAAGAUAGAGCAGACGGAGAGAGAGAGAGAGGGAGCAGCGAACGGAGAGAGAGGCAGACGAGCGGCAGGAGUCUCCGGCGGCGGCGAUCUCUGUCGCUGACAUCGAUGAUGAGGAUGAUGAUGAGGGUUUCGACGGCGGACAGAGUUACGAGCUGUGGAUCGAGUCGUUCUCCCUGCCACGGUGCACUCCAACAGUGGGGUUCCGAUAAUGACUUUUGAGGGUAAUGAUUCUGUGGUAGAUGAUGAAAGAUGAUGCGGUUGAUGUUCGGUUCGUUCAGCUUCAGUUCGGGUGCACAUCAGCAUGUUCGGGUCACGGUUCAGGUCAACUUGAUCAGAUUCCUUUCCGUUCGACCCGGUUCACUCGCUCAAGACUUGGUUCGGUUCAGGUUCGGGUCAACAUAAGUCAACAACGGUCAACAGUUCUGAUCGACUCGGUCAAAUACGAUCAAACUCGGUCAACUGAGGUCAAACUCAGUCAACACGAGACGCGGAAUGUCAUAGGUGCACGCCAGCUAAUUCAUGUUCUUGGAACGACACUACGGAAUCACGCUAGGCUAUGAUUGCACAUGGAAGUCCAGGUCGCAUUUUAAAAACUAUGGAACGGUUGGAAUAGGAGAAUCCAUGGGAAUUCGAGUA